rnacentral:rRNA from 1 species
CUACGGGUCGCUCCAGUGGGGGAUAUUGCACAAUGGGCGCAAGCCUGAUGCAGCCAUGCCGCGUGUAUGAAGAAGGCCUUCGGGUUGUAAAGUACUUUCAGUGGGGAGGAAGGGAGUAAAGUUAAUACCUUUGCUCAUUGACGUUACCCGCAGAAGAAGCACCGGCUAACUCCGUGCCAGCAGCCGCGGUAAUACGGAGGGUGCAAGCGUUAAUCGGAAUUACUGGGCGUAAAGCGCACGCAGGCGGUUUGUUAAGUCAGAUGUGAAAUCCCCGGGCUCAACCUGGGAACUGCAUCUGAUACUGGCGAGCUUGAGUCUCGUAGAGGGGGGUAGAAUUCCAGGUGUAGCGGUGAAAUGCGUAGAGAUCUGGAGGAAUACCGGUGGCGAAGGCGGCCCCCUGGACGAAGACUGACGCUCAGGUGCGAAAGCGUGGGGAGCAAACAGGAUUAGAUACCCGCGUAGUC